AACGAACGCUGGCGGCAGGCUUAACACAUGCAAGUCGAGCGCCCCGCAAGGGGAGCGGCAGACGGGUGAGUAACGCGUGGGAAUCUACCCAUCUCUACGGAAUAACGCAUGGAAACGUGUGCUAAUACCGUAUACGUCCUUCGGGAGAAAGAUUUAUCGGAGAUGGAUGAGCCCGCGUUGGAUUAGCUAGUUGGUGGGGUAAAGGCCUACCAAGGCGACGAUCCAUAGCUGGUCUGAGAGGAUGAUCAGCCACACUGGGACUGAGACACGUCCCAGGCUCCUACGGGAGGCAGCAGUGGGGAAUAUUGGACAAUGGGCGCGAGCCUGAUCCAGCCAUGCCGCGUGAGUGAUGCAGGCCCUAGGGUUGUAAAGCUCUUUCACCGGUGAAGAUAAUGACGGUAACCGGAGAAGAAGCCCCGGCUAACUUCGUGCCAGCCGCCGCAGUAAGAC
rnacentral:rRNA from 1 species